rnacentral:rRNA from 1 species
GAUGAACGCUAGCGACAGGCUUAACACAUGCAAGUCGAGGGGUAGCAGGAUAGAAGCUUGCUUUUAUUGCUGACGACCGGCGCACGGGUGAGUAACGCGUAUGCAACCUACCUAUCAGGGGGGGAUAGCCCAUUGAAAGAUGGAUUAAUACCGCAUAAAGCAGGGGUCCCGCAUGGGAAUAUUUGCUAAAGAUUAUAUUGCUGAUAGAUGGGCAUGCGUUCCAUUAGUUAGUUGGUAAGGUAACGGCUUACCAAGACAUCGAUGGAUAGGGGUUCUGAGAGGAAGGUCCCCCACACUGGUACUGAGACACGGACCAGACUCCUACGGGAGGCAGCAGUGAGGAAUAUUGGUCAAUGGGCGAGAGCCUGAACCAGCCAAGUCGCGUGAAGGAUGACUGCCCUAUGGGUUGUAAACUUCUUUUAUAAGGGAAUAAAACCAUCCACGUGUGGGUGUCUGUAUGUACCUUAUGAAUAAGCAUCGGCUAACUCCGUGCCAGCAGCCGC